GAUGAACGCUAGCGAUAGGCUUAACACAUGCAAGUCGAGGGGCAGCAUGGUCUUAGCUUGCUAAGACUGAUGGCGACCGGCGCACGGGUGCGUAACGCGUAUGCAACUUGCCUCACAGAGGGGGAUAACCCGUCGAAAGACGGACUAAUACCGCGUACACUUGGGAUAGGGCAUCCUAAUCCAAGGAAAUGAAAUUCGCUGUGAGAUAGGCAUGCGUCCCAUUAGCUAGUUGGUGAGGUAACGGCUCACCAAGGCGACGAUGGGUAGGGGAACUGAGAGGUUGAACCCCCACACUGGUACUGAGACACGGACCAGACUCCUACGGGAGGCAGCAGUGAGGAAUAUUGGUCAAUGGGCGAGAGCCUGAACCAGCCAAGUCGCGUGAAGGAUGACUGCCUUAUGGAUUGUAAACUUCUUUUGUAGGGGAAUAAAGAAUGGUACGUGUACCAUAGUGA
rnacentral:rRNA from 1 species